UUAAAGGAACGAGGAACAGUCCAUAGGACA
rnacentral:piRNA from 1 species